GCCUCGUACUUUAACUAUAUUUCUUCACAUGCAGGGCGAAAAUUUGGUAACUGCUGUUCUAACUGGACCCGGUAUUGUCUUUAUUCAAAGUAUGCCCUUCCACCGGCUUUCUCAGCGAAUUGCUAGGUCUGUUACCUCUCCAAACAUGAGGGAAAAUCCGAAGUUUUUCCUUCAGAUAGCAGUCUUCUUCUUCCUAGCUUAUGUUGUUAUUGUGUCAUCGCUAAUCUUGACCGAUAUAUAAUGUUUUCAUUUAAUUUCGUUAGAAUUCAACUGAUGCUUCUUUUUACCUACUAUACAUUUUGUACACAUCGUCAGUUUGAAAAUAUAUGGGAGAGGAAAACGGGGUUUUACAUUAGUUUCAAAUGAGGAUGUAUCGUGAUGAAACUGUGCAGACAGGAAUAGUUUUUUCAGUUUAAUGUUUGGAAUGAUUGGAUAUCAUUAUAAGGGAGAUAAAGAAGUUAAAUUUUGUUUA